GUACACGCUGUGACUAGCAUAUCAAUAAGCGGAGGAAAAGAAACUAACAAGGAUUCCCCUAGUAACGGCGAGUGAAGCGGGAAGAGCUCAAAUUUGAAAUCUUAAAGGGUUUCCCUUUACGAAUUGUAGUUUAAAGAAGUGUUUUCUGUUGAGGUUUUGGUAAAAGUUCUUUGGAAUAGGACAUCAUAGAGGGUGAGAAUCCCGUAUUUGACCUUUACUUUCAACUUUGUGAUACACUUUCAAAGAGUCGGAUUGUUUGGGAAUGCAGUCCAAAAUGGGUGGUAAAUUUCAUCUACAGCUAAAUAUUGGCGAGAGACCGAUAGCGAACAAGUACCGUGAGGGAAAGAUGAAAAGAACUUUGAAAAGAGAGUUAAACAGUACGUGAAAUUGUCAAAAGGGAAGCGUUUGACACCAGUGUUGUUUUUCUGAAAAUCAAUUAAAGAACUGUUUAUGCUAAGUUGUUUAGACUUUAUCAGCUAACUGUUUAGUUUUGAGCUUUUCUUUAAUGCACUUUUCAGGUUAACAAGUCAACAUCAAUUUCUUUUGCUGUAAAAAAGCUUGAGGAAGGUGGCUUGAGAUUCGUCUUAAGUGUUUAUAGCCUCUUGCCUAUGCAGUCGGAGAGAUUGAGGUCUGCAGCGUAGAUCCUUCGGGGCUAAAUGCAUUUGUGCUAAGUUAUAGCAUUUUAUAGACAACUUGUUGACUAUGAUUUGUCUUGUAGCUUACUCGCUUAUGUUAUUUUACCUACGCUUAGGAUGUUGAGUCGUAGAGCACGCAG
rnacentral:rRNA from 1 species